UCUUAUCCUCCUCCGCAUAUCUUCUUAUGUUUGUAGUCUGUUACAGCAAAAGAGCAAUAAUUUCAAUAUUCUUAAAUGGAUUUAAGGCUCAUAUCAAGAGAUAAGCUCUCUGUACCCCCAACAAAUACUUGGACAUUGAUAUAAGAUUAAAGCCACCGUUUACAUGCUACCAUGGGAGCAAAUUGUUUGUACACUCCCUCGGGUAAAAUCGUAUUUAGAGUUUGUAUUAGGAUCCCAGCUAUGGGCCUAAAGAAAAUAACGUCCUAGAUUGACAAAAGACUCUCAAAAUUGCUUGCAGGUGCCUCUUGUACUGCCCCAACACUGCAGGGUUAGAAGAAACUCGACCACAGAUUCAUGGCUUUUCCUUUCAUCACAUCAUGAACCUGCAGCACAAACUUUUUUUUUUUUAUUGGUACAUAAGGUUUUUUUAUAUUUUUUUAUAAGCUCCUUGUAUAGUUUUGAUAAAUAAUUUUAUAAUUCACAUGGGGAUUUUCCUGAUUUUAUUUAUCUCCUUUUUCUGAGUAUUUUCCUUGAGUGAGGGUUCAUGAAUUGUGCUUUCAUCACAUCAUGAACUUGAACCAGAAGGAUCAUUUUUUGUUUGGUACAUAAGGUUUUUCCUUCUUCUUUUUGGGAUAAUUUUUAUAUUUUUUUGUAAGAUAAAUUGUACUUGAAUAUUUUCCUUAUUCUAUUUAAUUAGUUUAUUCUCGGUGUGUUCCUUGAUGUAAAAAGGCUUUGCUCUGCUGACGGUUCUUUGAACUGCAGCAUCAAAAGUUGCAUCUGCAAUGUUCACAUUCAAAACCCUAGAUAUAACUGCAAUCCAGUUGUCCAAUUAGCUCUCUAACUUUAUAGCUGCCUGAGACUCUUGCACUCUCUCAAGCUCCUACAGAUAAAACUCAUCUAAACCUCUCUCUCUCUCUCUCUCUCACAAGUGAAACUCUCUCUUACCACUGGUUAUGAUUCUAUGGACCUUCUAUCUCUCUAGUCUCA
rnacentral:lncRNA from 1 species